AGUGAACGCUGGCGGUAUGCCUAACACAUGCAAGUCGAACGGCAGCACAGUAAGAGCUUGCUCUUACGGGUGGCGAGUGGCGGACGGGUGAGGAAUACAUCGGAAUCUACUUUUUCGUGGGGGAUAACGUAGGGAAACUUACGCUAAUACCGCAUACGACCUACGGGUGAAAGCAGGGGAUCUUCGGACCUUGCGCGAUUGAAUGAGCCGAUGUCGGAUUAGCUAGUUGGCGUGGUAAAGGCCCACCAAGGCGACGAUCCGUAGCUGGUCUGAGAGGAUGAUCAGCCACACUGGAACUGAGACACGGUCCAGACUCCUACGGGAGGCAGCAGUGGGGAAUAUUGGACAAUGGGCGCAAGCCUGAUCCAGCCAUACCGCGUGGGUGAAGAAGGCCUUCGGGUUGUAAAGCCCUUUUGUUGGGAAAGAAAAGCAGCAGGUUAAUACCCCGCUGUUCUGACGGUACCCAAAGAAUAAGCACCGGCUAACUUCGUG
rnacentral:rRNA from 1 species